CACGUAGGCACCAAGCGUUGUCCGGUUUUAUUGGGCGUAAAGAGCUCGUAGGCGGUUCAGUAAGUCAGGUGUGAAAUCUUUGGGCUUAACCCAAAGCGUGCACUUGAUACUGCUGUGACUUGAGUUCGGUAGGGGAGUGGGGAAUUCCUAGUGUAGCGGUGAAAUGCGCAGAUAUUAGGAGGAACACCGGUGGCGAAGGCGCCACUCUGGGCCGAAACUGACGCUGAGGAGCGAAAGCGUGGGUAGCAAACAGG
rnacentral:rRNA from 1 species